GAUGAACGCUGGCGGCGUGCUUAACACAUGCAAGUCGAACGAAGCACUCUAUUUGAUUUUCUUCGGAAAUGAAGAUUUUGUGACUGAGUGGCGGACGGGUGAGUAACGCGUGGGUAACCUGCCUCAUACAGGGGGAUAACAGUUGGAAACGACUGCUAAUACCGCAUAAGCGCACAGGACCGCAUGGUCCGGUGUGAAAAACUCCGGUGGUAUGGGAUGGACCCGCGUCUGAUUAGCCAGUUGGCAGGGUAACGGCCUACCAAAGCGACGAUCAGUAGCCGACCUGAGAGGGUGACCGGCCACAUUGGGACUGAGACACGGCCCAAACUCCUACGGGAGGCAGCAGUGGGGAAUAUUGCACAAUGGGGGAAACCCUGAUGCAGCGACGCCGCGUGAGCGAAGAAGUAUUUCGGUAUGUAAAGCUCUAUCAGCAGGGAAGAAGAAUGACGGUACCUGACUAAGAAGC
rnacentral:rRNA from 1 species